UAAACGGUUCUUUUCAGAGCUACCCAAAUAUUUGGCGAAGGAAUGU
rfam:Harpegnathos saltator strain R22 G/1 HarSal_1.0_2.contig4261, whole genome shotgun sequence.